GACGAACGCUGGCGGCGUGCCUAAUACAUGCAAGUAGAACGCACAGUUUAUACCGUAGCUUGCUACACCAUAGACUGUGAGUUGCGAACGGGUGAGUAACGCGUAGGUAACCUGCCUGGUAGCGGGGGAUAACUAUUGGAAACGAUAGCUAAUACCGCAUAAUAUUAAUUAUUGCAUGAUAAUUAAUUGAAAGGUGCAAUUGCACCACUACCAGAUGGACCUGCGUUGUAUUAGCUAGUAGGUGAGGUAACGGCUCACCUAGGCGACGAUACAUAGCCGACCUGAGAUGGUGAUCGGCCAAACUGGGAAUGAGAACAGGCCCAGACUCCUAAGGGAGGCAGCAGUAGGGAAUCUUCGGCAAUAGACGAAAGUCUGACCGAGCAACGCCGCGUGAGUGAAGAAGGUUUUCGGAUCGUAAAGCUCUGUUGUAAGAGAAGAAAGGGUGUGAGAGUGGAAAGUUCACACUGUGACGGUAUCUUACCAGAAAGGGACGGCUAACUACGUG
rnacentral:rRNA from 1 species